rnacentral:rRNA from 1 species
GACGAACGCUGGCGGCGUGCUUAACACAUGCAAGUCGAGCGGUAAGGCCCUUUCGGGGUACGACGAGCGGCGAACGGGUAGGAGUAACAACGUGGGUGGACCUCGCCCUCCAGCUCUGGGAGUAAGACCUCGGGAAACGUAGGGUCGUAAUAACUGGAUAUGACUCCACGGUGCAUGUCGUGGGGUGGGAAAGACCUUGUGCGGCUGAGGAUGGGCCCGGCCGGCCUAUCAGC